AUGCGACGAGCCAUUGGAACCCUUGUCAUGCUGGUCUUGUGGCAGAUUCAAAAUGAGAGAAAUGUAAGGGUCUUCUGUCAUGUCACGGCCCUCCCGGUUGUCUGACUGUGUAAUACUAAAACCGAAGCAACAAACUGGCGCAUGACAGGCAAAACACUUGAACUACCUGAUGCCAGGAGAGUAGUCAUCUUUAGGGGGAAAAUUCAUGUCCAAGUCAUGAUGCUUUGA
rnacentral:rRNA from 1 species